rnacentral:rRNA from 1 species
UUCCCAGUCACGAUAACACAAAGAUAGGAAAGCGUUCUUGGAUAGAUACUAGUUUGAUCGUGAGAACAGAUGAUGGAUUCAAGAAGUGAGAAUGUUGGUAUAAGUAACGAAAAAAUGGGUGAAAAUCCCGUUCGCCGUAAAUCUAAGGUUUCCUGAGAAAUGUUUAUCAUCUCAGGGUUAGUCGAUUCCUAAGCUGAGGCCGAUUGGAGUAAGUGAUGGAUAACAGGUUAAUAUUCCUGUACUAUAAAAAUGCGAUUGAAUGAUGGAGUGACGCAGUAGGAUAGGUUGAAUGAGCAUUUGGUGCUCAUCCAAGCUUUAAGGUAGAUGAUAUAGGUAAAUCCGUAUCAUUGUUGAUUUGAGGAGUGAUAGGUCUUUUUAGUUCUAGUAAUUAAAUGGAUUCAAUUGAUUUCACACUGACAAGAAAAACUUCUAGUGAGUAUUUUUGUAAUCGUACCGCAAACUGACACAAGUAGAUGGGCUGAGAAUGCUCAGGCGUUGAGAUAAUUAUCGUUAAGGAACUCGGCAAAUUAGCCUCGUAACUUCGGGAGAAGAGGUGCCUGUGAUGUAUUUUAAACUAUGCAUCGUCAGGUUUCAACAAAGAGGCCCAAUCGACUGUUUAACAAAAACACAGAGCUCUGCUAAUUCGAAAGAAGAUGUAUAGAGUUUGACGCCUGCCCAGUGCUGGAAGGUCAACAGGAGAUGUUAAUUGAAAGAUGAAGCAUUGAAUCGAAGCCCCAGUAAACGGCGGCCGUAACUAUAACGGUCCUAAGGUAGCGAAGUCCCUUGUCGGGUAAAUUCCGACCUGCAUGAAUGGCGUAACGAGUUGGGCGCUGUCUUGACGAUAAACUCAGUGAAUUUGUAGUAGGGGUGAAAAUGCCCCUUACCUGCAAUUGGACGGAAAGACCCCGUGCACCUUUACUGCAAUUUUGCAUUGUUGUUUGGGUUUGUAUAUGUAGGAUAGGCGGGAGACUUUGAUGUGUAGGCGCUAGCUUAUGCGGAGUCGUCGGUGAAAUACCGCUUUUAUUAGCUUGAAUAUCUAACUUUAAUCCAUUAUCUGGAUAGAGGACAUUGCAUGAUGGGCAGUUUGACUGGGGUGGUCGCCUCCUAAAGAGUAACGGAGGCAUUCAAAGGUUCCUUCAAAGCGAAUAGAAAUCGUUUAUAGAGUGUAAACACAUAAGGGAGCUUAACUGUGAGACAUACAGGUCGAGCAGAUACGAAAGUAGGAGUUAGUGAUCCAGUGGUUCCGAAUGGAAGGGCCAUUGCUAAAUGGAUAAAAGGUACGCCGGGGAUAACAGGCUAAUCUUUUCUGAGAGUUCAUAUCGACGAGAAGGUUUGGCACCUCGAUGUCGGAUCAUCGCAUCCUGGGGCUGAAGAAGGUCCCAAGGGUUUGGCUGUUCGCCAAUUAAAGCGGUACGUGAGCUGGGUUCAGAACGUCGUAAGACAGUUCGGUUCUUAUCCAUUGUAGGCGUAAGGUAUUUGAGUGAGGUUGUUCCUAGUACGAGAGGACCGGAAUGAGUUAACCUCUGGUGUUCCAGUUAUUUACCAAGAGUAAGCUGGGUAGCCACGUUAAUUAGAGAUAACCGCUGAAAGCAUCUAAGUGGGAAGCUCGUCACAAGAUUAGAUACCUCUGUUUUAGUGAAAACUAAAACGUAAGAUUCCUCAAAGACUAUGAGGUUGAUAGGUUGGGUGUGUAAGUAAAGUAAUUUACUGAGCUAACCAAUACUAAUAAAUCGAGUGACGUAU